CUAGCGACACAUACAUGCACACGUGCAUGAGAAUGUUUGUGGAUACAUUGCAUGCCUUGUAUGCAAACACAGAUGCACAUGAAUGCUUGCUUCCAUUGCAUACAUAACAUGCUGGCCUGUGAUUGCAUUUGCAGACUGACAGGAUAUCCUCUGUGUGCUCAGUGGUGCACAUGCAUCUCUGCAUGGCAGACACAGGCAGAAACAUGUCUUAGGGUGCGCGGUGUGAGUGCAUCCUGUGCUGGCAUUCUCCUGCAACCACUGGAGCGUGAACUCCCACUUCAACCCAGGGCUGACAGGGCCACAUUUGCAAAAUGCUCGGAGGCCAGUGACAGAGCUGGCUGGAGCGCGCUGGCUGGCAGGAGGGCUGCGGACCGGGUGGCAUCACACCAGAGUACCCAUCGUUAAACGUCACCGUCUCCACUUCUUUCAAUCUGUUCGACUUGGACCGAGUCAUCUUCUCUUUGCGUCUUGGUUUCCUUGUCUAUAAACCGAGGUUACCCAUUGCUUACGAGCUAACUCUGGGGAAGUGUUCAACGCUGGAUAUUAAGAUGGCAUUCUGACCUCACCAUCACCUCGUGGAGUUGCUGUUCGAACAACUUGUGUGCUUGCUCUGAUGGCCACCACAGUGGUCCUCCGAAGAUGGAUCAAUGUCUAUAGAGCGAUGAUUAUAAGACAACAGCGGCCUCCUGAACUCCCUCCCAGGCCCCGAGGUGAAUCAAUGGUUGCACAUGGGCCUGGUGUGAAUCCCAGCUCUUGCAGGCUGGGCCUCCUUCACCAAGGUUCAAGGUGAGCAAAGCCACAAGUUCCUUAGUCCAGCCUUCAAGAUCUUUCCACAGCCUUCCCUGACUCAGCCUCCUCCUCCUCCUGGUGAGCCAGCUCAGGGAACCACCUGCUUUGCCGGAAGCAGUCCCGCACCGCCACCUACCCAGCCCAGCCUUUGCAGAUGCUGUUGUGCCUCUUGGGAGGCCCCCGCUUGCCUGGCCACCUCAUCCAUCUCACGCUCAUGCUUCAAGACCCAGCAGGCCCCAGGAAUUAUCCACUCUCUCUCCCAUACUCCCGGGGCUUCGCUGUUCAGUCUGCUUCAUCAAAGGUGUUAUCGCAAGCGGCCUCUGUCUUUGUCUCCCAGGCCUUGAGCUACAGGAAGGCAGGAAGUCCUUACUGGGGCCGGCGAGAUGGCUUCCUGGGUGAAAGGGCUUGGCCACCCAAACGGGGUCCUGGAACACACCAUGGGAGGAGAGAACCAACUCCUGAAAGUUGUCUUCUUUCCAUAUGGGAGGUGGUACAUACAUACACACACACACACACACACACACACACACACACACACACACACACUAAUGCACCCCAAUAAAAUAAUAAUGAUGAUGAUGAUGAUGAUGAUAAUAAUAAUAAUAAUAAUAAAACGACCUAUCUGUGUAGCUUUGGGCACAUUGUUUUCGUGAGCCUGUUUCCUGGUCUCUGAAUUAGGGUGGGGUGUGUGGUGGCAUUCAGGGCACACCAGCUUCCUCUAGAUCACCGCUGUGGA